CUCGAGGAGGGACAGAGCCUGUGCCAGGAGCACCGUCCUGCUGCCAGAGGCCUCUGGGUUGCUGUGCUGUGGGCAGCGGACCCCAACUCCUAUGAUGAGGAGACCAGUGACAGGGGAGCACUGGCCCCUUCAUGUGAGGCAGGGGUGGGGUGGGGGCAUCUCCCGCCUGGUGCCCCCUGUGCUGCCGUGCCCUGAGCCCCUGCCCUCCACUGACCUCAGGGGUCUGUAGGUGACCUCGGUGACGUGGAUUCCAAAGAGCUCCCGGGCCGCGUAGCGGAACACGUGCUCCAGCCCGUCUCGUGAACUCAGCCGUCUCUGGGCACCGAGACAGACCAUGGGGCAGAUACAGGACCCGCCAGAAGGAAGCCGUGGCACAGGAGAGGGAGGACAGUGCCCCCCCCCCGAACAGCGUCCCUUGUGCGGCCCCGAGCUUGAGGACCUCUCCUGCGACGAGAGCACAGCACGGAUGCCCAUCGGCUGAGCUUCGGGCAAAACAGAGUCCCCCCAAGAGCACCCACGGUGACCUGAGGGGCUGGACGUCCACCCCGGCUGGAGGCGCCUGCACCUCCGCAGGCCGCCGCCCCAACCCUGGAUGCGCCCGGAGACACAGCACCCGGCGUCCCUGGAGGGCCACCUCCCCCGCUGCCUGGCUCCCAGGCUUGAUGCAGUCCUGUACCAGUAAGAGACCCCAAAGACCGGCCUGAGUGCACGGAGGCAUGGGAAGAGGGCCGACCCGAUGGCCACACCGCUGCCUGGGAUGAAGGCUCUGCCCCAAUUCCUGUCUUCCUGCUGCAGCCGCCGAAUUAGCGCUAUGGCUGCUUACCCUACUCCCACCAGUCCAGUCACCCUGCCUGCCGGGUUCCUCGGCAGGUCACCGUAGAUGGAGGAAGUGCGAUGGGGGCCUGCACGCUAACCUGUCUGCAGACACCAACCCUGACCCUGACCCUUCCUCAGCAAAAACGGAUGCGUGGCACCGCCCAGAGGGCCACUGGCUGCUGAGAGCAAGCCAAGGGUGGGCAGGAAUGCUCUGCUUGGAGAUCACCUGCCCUCCCAGUUCCCGGAAAAAGGCUCCCUUCUCUCCCCAACUCCUUGAGUUCUGUCUCUCUCAUCACUGGGAGAACCUCACUGGCCUCACCUUCCCAAAGAGGGCCAGCCCCAGAGCGCCUUAGCAGGCCUGUCCGAGCUCCCCCCUGCCGCUGGUUGGAACCAGCCGCACCCGCUCCUUCUCAGGGGACUCCUCGGCCCUCUGGAGGCCUGGUCCUGCGCGGCUGGUGGCAUCGAUAAGCGGGGACACCCCAUGAGGGCGGCCGGCUAUCAAGCACAGCUGCCCUGUGCCUUUGGCGGCAAGCUCUAGCUUCCUCCCCGAAGGUGACACCGACGACCACCACCGCGGUGACUCCAGAGGGCCACCACCUCCGCCCUUGCAGUGUUCACACGCAAGUAACCGGCCAGAGAAGGUCAGCAGGGUCUUCCGGGCCCUGAGCUGGGUGGCACCGGCUGCCGUGCCCGCCCGGGAAAAGGACGCGAUCGCCCCUGGGCUGUGCGGCCCCGCGGCCCCGAUCCCGAGUUCCCCGCUGCCCGGCCCGCCCACCUGAGACGGCGCGAUGAAGUCGUCCAGGUCCGUCAGCUGCACGGCCCCGCUGAAGGGCGACGCCAUGGCGCCACACUGCCGUCGGGUCACCGCGCGCAGGCGUCGCCAAACGCUGCAAAAACGGCGAGGCGGUUCCGCCACGCUGCCGGAAAGCGCCCGCCAGGCGCAGGCGCGAAUGGCCUAGUGGCAGGCGCGCGCCCCCUUCUGGGGGGCCUGGGCAUCUUACUCCGCGCCGGCGGAGGAGCUGCGCGGUAAGGGGGGGGCCUCCGUCGCGGUUCCAGACUCACCUGCCAGGCAGGUGUGCAGCCCACCCGCCCCCUCCUUCUCCGCCCUAGGAUUUUGCAGAGGCAGCAGACUUGCUUUAUUUGGUUCUGGACGCAGCCCAAGAACGUAGAAGAGCGCUUGGCACGCAGGAGUGCGCGACUUCUGUAGAAAGAGGAAAAUGAGAAUGACUCGGAUGGGCCGUCUUUCUUCCCGAUGCUGCAGCUCAGUGCAGAGCCUUGGGGUUCUAGGAGGGAGCUCGCGGUUAUUUUGGAGACCAGCUUGAGAAAACUUCAUUUCCCUCAAGUGGAAGUUGCUGGGCCGCUUCCUGGGAGGGAAGCUACAUGGCAUUUCGGCCUGUGCUGCAGCUGGGGUGGCAAUGCUGGAUCCUCAACCUGCUGCACCACGAGGAAACUUCCGUUGCAGGCCGUCGUUCCAGUGCCCUUGUGGGAGUGCCGGGGUGACUGCCAGAGCGUUUCUGGUUUAAAACCAUCUCAGCGGGGGAAGUUCCCAUUGCGGCUCAGCCAUAUCCAUGAAGACUCGGGGUCCACUGGCCUGGCUCAGUGGGUUAAGGAUCCGGCUUUGCCGUGAGCUGUGCGGUGGUUUCAUCAUUGUCCUUACCGGCCCAUGCGCAGCGCAGAGUCUACACACGCGGGGGACCGAGAGGGCCGGGGGAGGCCAUGGCGCGGGGCCAAGGCCCGGAGGCCAGGCCGGUCAGCCCGUGCAGCUGCCCUGACGCUGGGGCCGGUGGGCCCCCCUUUCUCUGAACUGGAGCAGGCGCCCUCCCGGCCUCUGCUCUGGACGUGCCCACAGUGGACCAUGCCCAUCGCCCUCCGAUGGGAGUAGGGGGGCUUUCUCCUGAGGUGUGACAAGCUGCUGGCCCUCCGGCAGCUUGGCCUGAGUGCCACCCUGUCAGGAGUCGGACCCCUGUUGUUGUCGUGCGGCUGCUGGAGCAGAACCGCGGCCGGAGGCUUAAAGCAGCAGAAGCGAUUCUCAUGUGGUUCUGGGGGCUGGAAGGCUGCAAUCGCGGUGUGAGCAGCCCCGCGGCCCCUCCAAGGGCUUCUUGCCUCCUCCAGCCUCUGGGGGCACCAGGCGUCCCUGAGCUGGGCCAGGUCCCUGCGGGCUCCACGGUCCCGUGGCUCCUGUGUGUCUUCUUCCCUCUCUCAUCCCAUAAGGAUGCAGCCUUGGAUUUAGGACUGCCCUGAUCCAGAACGCUCUUCUCGGGAGAGCUGUAGCUUCAUGACACCUGCAAAGACUCUUUUUCCAAGUGAGGUGCCUCCCACUCGAAAAACAUCUGGGGCUUCAUCAGGGAGUCUCCCGCAGGACAAGUCCGAUUUUUUGUGAGACUCUUGGGGGUCCCAGGACAGCUGAACAACGGGGCGUGUCUCACCAGGCGGUAGCCCCCCACCCCCAGGGCCUGGCCAGCCCUCAGGGGACCAGUGGGAUGGAGGGGCCGCCCGAGCCGAGGACCGCCAGCCCAGGGCUGGGCCAGCAGCUGUGUGUCCGAGGCGGACAGCCUGUGUGCGGAGGGAAUGAAGUGACCCCGGGUGGGGACGAGUAGCAGGUAUUUUACCGUUUCCAAAAUAAAUUGAAGGUUUUCUUAAAUACA